GGGCUCUGCCCCCGGCACGGCCAUCGGCCACGGCUGGAGAUAGCCUGGGGACCCCUACCAGCCCCACGACGGCCCCAAGUGCAGGGAUGGAGGAGGGCGUCCGGACAGAGAGAAGGGACGAAUGGCAGGGCGUUUGUCCUGAGCAGCCAAAGCGCAAGAAUUCAUGAAAGCUGAGCAAAUUAAAGAUGAGUCUUUAAAGAUAACACAAAAAGUUCCCAGCCAAGAUGGACGAAUAGGAACAACUCUGGUCUGCAGUUCCCAGUGAGACCAAUGCAGAAGGAGGAGGAUGAAGCUCAGAAAGUUCAGUUGACCUGAGAAAAGUCACACAGACAGUGACUAGCAAAACUGCAAGCGGACUAAUACUUACCUGAUUCGAAGUCUCCUGAUGGUUUUGCUAUGCCUCCACGU
rnacentral:sRNA from 1 species